rnacentral:rRNA from 1 species
CCGAUGGUAGUGUGGGGUCUCCCCAUGUGAGAGUAGGUCAUCGUCAGGC